CCUACGGGUGGCAGCAGUGGGGAAUAUUGCACAAUGGGGGAAACCCUGAUGCAGCGACGCCGCGUGAGUGAAGAAGUAAUUCGUUAUGUAAAGCUCUAUCAGCAGGGAAGAAAAUGACGGUACCUGAGUAAGAAGCCCCGGCUAACUACAUGCCAGCAGCCGCGGUAAUACGUAGGGGGCAAGCGUUAUCCGGAUUUACUGGGUAGAAAGGGAGCGUAGACGGCAGUGCACGUCUGGAGUGAAAGGCGGGGGCUCAACCCCCGGACUGCUCUGGAAACUGUACGGCUGGAGUGCAGGAGAGGUAAGUGGAAUUCCUAGUGUAGCGGUGAAAUGCGUAGAUAUUAGGAGGAACACCAGUGGCGAAGGCGGCUUACUGGACUGUAACUGACGUUGAGGCUCGAAAGCGUGGGGAGCAAACAGGAUUAGAUACCCCAGUAGUC
rnacentral:rRNA from 1 species